rnacentral:rRNA from 1 species
UAUUGCACAAUGGGGGAAACCCUGAUGCAGCGACACCGCGUGAGUGAAGAAGUAUUUCGGUAUGUAAAGCUCUAUCAGCAGGGAAGAAGAUGACAGUACCUGAGUAAGAAGCCCCGGCUAACUACGUGCCAGCAGCCGCGGUAAUACGUAGGGGGCAAGCGUUAUCCGGAUUUACUGGGUGUAAAGGGAGCGUAGACGGAUGGAUAAGUCUGAAGUGAAAGCCCGCGGCUCAACUGCGGGACUGCUUUGGAAACUGUGCAUCUUGAGUACGGGAGGGGCAGGCGGAAUUCCUGGUGUAGCAGUGAAAUGCGUAGAUAUCAGGAGGAACACCGGCGGCGAAGGCGGCCUGCUGGACCGAAACUGACGUUGAGGCUCGAAAGCGUGGGGAGCAAACAGG